CUAAAUACAGGAAUAUUUUAAAUUUAUUAUCUAAGAACUUUCUAUCUACUAUGGUAAGGUGCAAAGCAGUCUUUGCAUAGAGCAACGUUAAAAACUUGACAAAUCAAAUUGCUGCGAGUUUGAUUCUUUUUAGAUGAAGCACAAAGGGCACAGCGCCUUUAUGUUCCUUUGGUGGGUAAGUGUGAACCAGCAUUCAAAGUUGAGUUUGAUGGAGGUCCAGACUUUUUUCUGAAAGUAAAAGUGCUAAUCAAAUUAUCAGCUAGUUCAAUGUAAUGCUAGGAACUGUAAUGCAGUCAUAGGCUUAGCACUUGAGUUUUUUUUUCAGAGUCUCCUUAUAUAAAAUAUAGCUGUUUACUAUUGCUGCGUCUAAAAGGUAGUAAAAUAUUUUACCCACCAAUAACGUCUUGAUUUCCAUGAGGUGGAGUAGUUAGCAUGAUAUUGAUCGAAUAGAUCUACUCCACCCAUGUAUUUGUUAUAAUCUGCUAUUGCCUGAGGACAUGGUACAUUGCAUGUUCUCAAAACCUGAGUUUUUUGUUGAAAAUUAUGUAGAUUGCUGACAACACUAACACAUUUUACACCUCAAUCUUUCCACUUUUAAACAGAUAUUUCCCAAGAACUAACUGAAUCUGACUGAUUUUGGGAAAUCUCUUUAUCGACACUUAAUAUUUGUUUUGGAAAAUAUUUUCUUGUUUGCCUUACAGUGCCACAAGCAAAAGUUGUCUUUUCCAGUAGUUUCUGCAUCAGUGGUAUUGAAUUCUUCUGGGUAGCGUAGAGGUUCGAUUCUUUGUUGAUUGGCUUACUCGAAUGUCAACAUUGACGCUUGAAGAUUCAGUAAAAUCAAAUGAUUCGAAAAGAAGAUUGGGGUCGUUUUUCUUGGACCACACAAAAGAUUAAUUUGAAGGAACAGGAGCUUGUUCCGCAUUCUCAUCUUUAUCAGCAGGAGUUAGGGAAUUUGUUGCUUGAGGAAAUAACCUAGCCAACUUGUUGUGCUUGAAACCAAAUCCGUCAUCUGGAUCAAAGUCAGGAUCUUGAUCCCAAUCACCAAAAUCUUCGUUUCCGCUAGAAUUAUUUUUGUCUUUAGUACAUUGGCGCACCCUUUUCAAGAGCUGUACUGAUGUACUGGAACAUGUCGGCUGGCUGUCGAUACUAGUAGUCGAGGAUUGUGACGGAGUUCUGGAAAUUGAGCUUGUCUCAGGGAAAUUGUCAUCGCCAUCAAACUCGGAAAGACAAUACUCUUCAUCACUUAGAUGGUCUACUAUAUACUGGAGUUCAGCUUCUGUAAGCGUCGAUUUCUAGACAUCUAACCAAACCUAAAUAAUGUACUAGAAAAAUUGUAAUGACAAAUAGGCCUAAUAAAUAAUUUGAAGUCUUAUAGAACCUUGUAGAUAAAUACUAAGCAAAUAUAAAUAUAAAUAUAAAUACUUGCAAAUAAAUACUAAGCUUUGCUUUAAUGUAUCCGUAAAAAAUUUAGUAUUGUGCGUAAACUACGAUCUCGAGAUUUUGUUGCUUUAGUAUGUGAAAAAAUAACCUCUUAUUUGGUACAAUCCUCAAAAUGAUUAAAAAUAUUUUCCUAUCGCUAAUGUCAAACAACAAGAUUUUUAUAGAAAUUUGUUGCCACAAUAUUGUUUAAUAACUGGCAUAAGUUUCAAACCUAAGAAAUAAAAAUUGUUUGUACGCCGAGAUAAAUAAAAACAAUGCAUUUUGGGGUUAGAAUUCUCAUAAAACAUAUUUAUGCUUGCAAUAACUAUUCCAGUGAUUUUAAAGAAUUAUCUGCUAGUUAAAAAUAAUAAAAAAAAGUACACUUGACACUUAUCUUCAAUUUUUGUCCAAGUAGUUUAUUCCAAAUGACACUUGUGCAAAAAA
rnacentral:lncRNA from 1 species